rnacentral:rRNA from 1 species
ACGGAGGGUGCGAGCGUUAAUCGGAAUCACUGGGCGUAAAGCGCACGUAGGCGGUGUCGUAAGUCGGAUGUGAAAGCCCUCGGCUCAACCGGGGAACUGCAUUCGAUACUGCGAUGCUUGAGUGCCGGAGAGGGUGGCGGAAUUCCAGGUGUAGGAGUGAAAGCCGUAGAUAUCUGGGGGGAGGCCAGUGGCGAAGGCGACCACCUGGCCGUAUACUGACGCUGAGGUUCGAGAGCGUGGGGAUCAAAAAG